rnacentral:rRNA from 1 species
CUACGGGUGGCAGCAGUGAGGAAUAUUGCACAAUGGGGGGAACCCUGAUGCAGCAACGCCGCGUGGAGGAUGACGCAUUUCGGUGUGUAAACUCCUUUUAUAUGUCAAGAAAAUGACGGUAGCAUAUGAAUAAGCACCGGCUAACCCCGUGCCAGCAGCCGCGGUAAUACGGAGGGUGCAAGCGUUACUCGGAAUCACUGGGCGUAAAGGACGCGUAGGCGGGUUGGAAAGUCAGGUGUGAAAUCCUACAGCUUAACUGUAGAACUGCACUUGAAACUUCUAAACUAGAGUAUGGGAGGGGGAGAUGGAAUUAGUGGUGUAGGGGUAAAAUCCGUAGAUAUCACUAGGAAUACCUAAAGCGAAGGCGAUCUCCUGGAACAUUACUGACGCUAAGGCGUGAAAGCGUGGGGAGCAAACAGGAUUAGAUACCCCGGUAGUC